AGUGAACGCUGGCGGUAGGCCUAGCACAUGCAAGUCGAACGGCAGCACAGGAGAGCUUGCUCUCUGGGUGGCGAGUGGCGGACGGGUGAGGAAUACAUCGGAAUCUACUCUGUCGUGGGGGAUAACGUAGGGAAACUUACGCUAAUACCGCAUACGACCUACGGGUGAAAGCAGGGGACCUUCGGGCCUUGCGCGAUUGAAUGAGCCGAUGUCGGAUUAGCUAGUUGGCGGGGUAAAGGCCCACCAAGGCGACGAUCCGUAGCUGGUCUGAGAGGAUGAUCAGCCACACUGGAACUGAGACACGGUCCAGACUCCUACGGGAGGCAGCAGUGGGGAAUAUUGGACAAUGGGCGCAAGCCUGAUCCAGCCAUACCGCGUGGGUGAAGAAGGCCUUCGGAUUGUAAAGCCCUUUUGUUGGGAAAGAAAUCCAGCUGGCUAAUACCCGGUUGGGAUGACGGUACCCAAAGAAUAAGCACCGGCUAACUUCGUGCCAGCCGCCGCAGUAA
rnacentral:rRNA from 1 species